rnacentral:rRNA from 1 species
UAUACAAUUUAACCCUGGUUGAAGUUGAAAUAUAUCUAAUGAUGCUAUAUACGUUUAUUAUAUUAUGCUAAUCCUUGAGCAUAUAAAUUUGAGGUGGUUGUAGUAGUGAGAUCUAUCGUUAUAAAGAAAUUUAGUGAUGGUUGUUAGAUAGUAGAAGAGGCUAAAGCACAGUGCCAGCAGCCGCGGUUAUACUGUAAUUCUUCUUAUUUCUUUUUUGGUUAAAACUUUUAUUGAAAUUUAAAUAAAAUUGGUUGGUUAAAUAGGUUUUUUUUUGAGAAUACUUCAAUGAUGUGUAAAGUUCCAGUAUAAAGACAGGGAUUAGAUACCCCUUUAUUAGGAUAAAAAAUUUUUGUCCACGGUUUCAAAUUGAAAGGGUUUGGCAGCAAACUAAAUUCUUCCGGGGGAAGGUGCUUAUUAAAGAGAUGAUCCGCUUAUUAAUUUACUAUAUCUAGUGUUAGUGUAUAUCCGUUUGUAUAUUCACGCUUAGAGGUCAUAAGUGGGUAAAUAUUAAAUAAUU